rnacentral:lncRNA from 1 species
GGGCAUGCAAUUUCUGGCCACAUGGGGAGGACAUGCGGUUAGCCUUUGGUCACGGAGACCUUUGCCCUUUCAAGAUAAAGUGAUCUUCAGCUCUCUUCCCAGCACCAGCCGCUCUCAGCUGCACAGCCCUCCCUGAAUGUGUGAACCAAAGUCACUGGUUCCAAGAAGAAAGAGCAUCCUCCAUCCCCACCCCACCCCCACCCCCACCCCACCCCACUCCCACCCCAUCCCACCCCAGCGCUUGUGGAGUGUAAGACAGAGGUUCCCAGCCCUGAGAUACGGACAGGCAUCGGGCAGGCCUAUACCUCCCUCCACGCCGAGUCACCAGCACUCACCCCACAGGCUGACCGUCCACGCAGAGCUGGUGGUGGGUUCAGAGGGUUUAGCUGAUGCGAGAGUCGGAGCCCUGGGCAAAGUUUGUGACAAAAUGACAGUAGACACCCAGUGUUGCAGAACCCCAGAUCUGGGAGGACUUCGGAGAUUACCCAGACCAACUACCCCCACUUCUUGUUUUACAGUUGGGCAAACUGAGGCCUGGAGAGGGGAAGGAGAUGGGGCUAAGAUGCGCCACCAGCUGGUGAUAGAGCCUAGAUGGGACCGUGGCGCUGUGCCUUCCAUUCAGGUGCUGGUUGCCCCACUCUUUCAUCUGUGGAAUUAUCUGUAUGAUCAGAAGUUUGGGGCUGGGGGCAGGACAACUGUCAGUCAGGGGCCACUGUCGCCAGAGUGCUAGGGUUCAAAUCCUUCCUUCUCAGCGAAGCCUUGGGCCAGCGAGUUCUUCUCUCCAAGACUUGGCCUCUUUAUGUGUUAAGUAAUGGGGGUAAUAACUGACCCUGGGCCGGGCGUGGUGGCUCACGCCUGUAAUCCCAGCACUUUAGGAGGAUGAGGAGGGCGGAUCACUUGAGGCCAGGAGUUCAGGACCAGCCGAGUCAGCAUGGUGAAAACCCAUCUCUCCUAAAAAUACAAAAAUUAGCUGGGCGUGGUGGCGGGCACCUGUAAUUCCAGCUACUUGGGAGGCUGAGGGAAGAGAAUCACUUGGACCUGGGAGGCAGAGGUUGAAAUGAGCAGAGAUUGCGUCACUG